UACGGAGGGGGCAAGCGUUGUUCGGAAUUACUGGGCGUAAAGGGCGCGCAGGCGGCUGCUCAAGUCAGGCGUGAAAGGCCUGGGCUCAACCCGGGAAUUGCGCUUGAGACUGGGCUGGCUUGAGUGCGGGAGAGGAUGGUGGAAUUCCCAGUGUAGAGGUGAAAUUCGUAGAUAUCUGGAGGAACACCGGUGGCGAAGGCGGCGUUCUGGACUGCAUCUGACACUGAAAGACGAAAGCCAGGGGAGCAAACGGG
rnacentral:rRNA from 1 species